rnacentral:rRNA from 1 species
UACGUAGGGGGCAAGCGUUAUCCGGAUUUACUGGGUGUAAAGGGAGCGCAGACGGCAGUGCAAGUCUGGAGUGAAAGCCCGGGGCCCAACCCCGGAACUGCUCUGGAAACUGUGCGGCUAGAGUACUGGAGGGGCAGGCGGAAUUCCUAGUGUAGCGGUGAAAUGCGUAGAUAUUAGGAGGAACACCAGUGGCGAAGGCGGCCUGCUGGACAGUAACUGACGAUGAGGCUCGAAAGCGUGGGGAGCAAACAGG